GAUGAACGCUGGCGGCGUGCCUAAUACAUGCAAGUCGAGCGAACAGACGAGGAGCUUGCUUCUCUGACGUUAGCGGCGGACGGGUGAGUAACACGUGGAUAACCUACCUAUAAGACUGGGAUAACUUCGGGAAACCGGAGCUAAUACCGGAUAAUAUAUUGAACCGCAUGGUUCAAUAGUGAAAGACGGUUUUGCUGUCACUUAUAGAUGGAUCCGCGCUGCAUUAGCUAGUUGGUAAGGUAACGGCUUACCAAGGCAACGAUGCGUAGCCGACCUGAGAGGGUGAUCGGCCACACUGGAACUGGGACACGGUCCAGACUCCUACGGGAGGCAGCAGUAGGGAAUCUUCCGCAAUGGGCGAAAGCCUGACGGAGCAACGCCGCGUGAGUGAUGAAGGUCUUCGGAUCGUAAAACUCUGUUAUUAGGGAAGAACAAAUGUGUAAGUAACUGUGCACAUCUUGACGGUACCUAAUCAGAAAGCCACGGCUAACUACGUG
rnacentral:rRNA from 1 species